rnacentral:lncRNA from 1 species
CCAAACUUUCACUAAAAUCACUAAGCCAAAACAACAUUUACAAAAACUCUUUGUAAACCUAAGGAUUAACUCUAAUCCCAGUGUAGCACACACCCUCAACUGUUGUGACACCUUCAAGUUAAUUCUAACUUAAAUACUCAAAGUACCUAAUACAGUUGCUUCUAUGAAAUAUGGAAAGGUAAAACUUUAGACCACCUACAACAAUUGAACUAGACUAAAAGAAAGACACAAUGAAAUUGGUUCUUCUAUCUUGUCCAAGUAGCUUCAGGAAUGCACACUAAAAUCUCACAUAAAUUGCUUACAAAAUUGCCUUGCUUUUUACUCUCAAUUUAGUUUGACAUCUGCGUUUGUGCAAUACCCUGUAAAAGAGAACAACCACUGUUAUUUAAUGAGUUAGUAUUCAAAGUUUGAUUGAGACUCAAUUGUUGAUCUUCCAUUGAAGUUGAGUCUUUGAAUAAUACAAACUCCAAUCCUAUCCUUUAUCCGGAUUGUAUCCUCUUACCAUAAGAAUACUUUCUCUCCUCAUCCAGUAUGCAACCUUUUCGAUUAGUUAAGAAGAUAUUGCUGCUUGAUCACUGAGACUUAUCUCUUUCACGUGCAUCUCAUAUGUCUAGGUUGAUAAAUACUGUGCCUCACAUAAUGGACCUGUCCAUGACUGACUUCAUUUGUCAUUCUUCAAAAUUUCACCUGAACUUGGGCCAAUGAUAACGGUUUAGAA